rnacentral:rRNA from 1 species
CAUUACUGAGUUUACGCUCUACAACCCUUUGUGAACAUACCUAUAACUGUUGCUUCGGCGGGUAGGGUCUCCGCGACCCUCCCGGCCUCCCGCCUCCGGGCGGGUCGGCGCCCGCCGGAGGAUAACCAAACUCUGAUUUAACGACGUUUCUUCUGAGUGGUACAAGCAAAUAAUCAAAACUUUUAACAACGGAUCUCUUGGUUCUGGCAUCGAUGAAGAACGCAGCGAAAUGCGAUAAGUAAUGUGAAUUGCAGAAUUCAGUGAAUCAUCGAAUCUUUGAACGCACAUUGCGCCCGCCAGCAUUCUGGCGGGCAUGCCUGUUCGAGCGUCAUUUCAACCCUCAAGCUCUGCUUGGUGUUGGGGCCCUACAGCUGAUGUAGGCCCUCAAAGGUAGUGGCGGACCCUCCCGGAGCCUCCUUUGCGUAGUAACUUUACGUCUCGCACUGGGAUCCGGAGGGACUCUUGCCGUAAAACCCCCAAUUUUCCAAAGGUUGACCUCGGAUCAGGUAGGAAUACCCGCUGAACUUAAGCAUAUCA